rfam:Hordeum vulgare subsp. vulgare, WGS project CAJW01000000 data, contig: morex_contig_1613637
AAAUUCUUAUCUUAUAUUUGUCUAGAUAUGAAUGUAUCUAGUCAUAUUUUAAUAUUUAGAUACAUUCAUUUCUAGACAAAUAAAAGACAAGAAUUUUGGGACGAAGGGAGUAGUUG